UAUAUAUCUGAACGCAGUUCAUUCCACAUUUAUUUUAAUCAUAUUAAAAAGGAAGCCAAAACUUAUCGUGAACGUAAUUCUAAAAAAUCUAAUUUGUUACAGAAAGAGAAACUUUUUCAGACGAUUCCAUAGUUGUGCUACAAGCGAUGAUUUGAUUACGUAUUGUGGAUCUUCUCACUGUAGAUGAUGAAAAGGUUGGGCAUCGCGAGCGCUACAGUGGUCCAACUUCAGACUUCAAAGAGGAGGAGGAGGAGGGCUACAGACCACAUGUUUAACUCGACUACACAGAUGGUAACGGACAUGUGCUUAAUGCAAAGGAGACUUUCAGAUACCUGUCUCAUAAAUUUCAUGGAAACAGACCUGGCAGAAAUAAAGCAGAGAAAUGAAUGAAGAAGAAUGAACAGGAAGGAGGCAACCAUCUGAAAAAGAAAACUGCAGAUUCUUCAUGAAAUAUGCUGGCACCAACUCUGAACUUUAUCGUGGACUUAUGUUUUUAUUGUUUCUUACUGUCUGGAAUAUCAUCUCUAUUUUUUAAAUAAGACACAGCUUGCAGCUGCUGACAGUGCCUAUGUGUACUGGAAGGAAGGCCACAGAGUUCAUGUCACAUUCAAAUGUGUACAGUGGUUCUCCUGCUUCCUUAGGUAACCUGUUGGCACCUGUAAGCUGAAAAGUACAAUUUCUAGUGAUUAGUUGCUUGCUUAUAGGACUUGAGCCAGAUGAACUGCCUCUAAGCUAAAUCAGACAUGAAGUAAUUAUAUUUGGCCUUUCUUGAUUGCAAUAGCAAUUUUGUAUCCUUCCAAGGAAAGAAAGAAACCCUUGUUCAAUUGUAGGCCAGUAUGAAAAUCUGUAACAUUAUACAAGCAACAGAAUCAGAAGGUGUACAGUCUACUGCAAAUCAUUGUAAAGCACCACUGAUAUAUCACUGAAACAUUUGUAAUGGGUUAUAAAAGUAACUUGGUUCAUCCUGGUCCAUCACACUAGUAAUUGUAAAUAAGGUUUUAACCACUGUCCAGUGUGAUUGAUAAAAGUUGUUUUUAAUUUUUCAUCCUUUACAUGUUUCAGAAGGAUAUUAUCAACACGUAUGAAAACUACUGUUACAUGUUAUACAUAUGCUAUAUCUUUUAACUAAUAUUAAGAUGUACAUUGAUUUGUUAAAACAUCUAACA